rnacentral:snRNA from 1 species
AUCACUUCUUGGUCUUUUGGUUAAGAUCAAGUGUAGAAUCUGUUCUUAUCAGUUUAAUAAAAGUAAUCAUUAUGUGCUGCAAACAUGUACAAAAAAAAAGUCAAAUUUCAGAAGACAAUCAUG